UACGUAGGUGGCAAGCGUUGUCCGGAUUUACUGGGCGUAAAGAGCGCGCAGGCGGUCGUUCAAGUCGCGUGUGAAGGCCCCGGCUCAACUGGGGAGGGUCACGCGAUACUGAUCGACUCGAAGGCAGGAGAGGGUAGUGGAAUUCCCGGUGUAGUGGUGAAAUGCGUAGAUAUCGGGAGGAACACCAGUGGCGAAGGCGACUACCUGGCCUGUUUCUUGACGCUGAGGCGCGAAAGCUAGGGGAGCAAACGGG
rnacentral:rRNA from 1 species